rnacentral:rRNA from 1 species
AGUGGCGGACGGGUGAGUAAUGCUUGGGAAUCUGGCUUAUGGAGGGGGAUAACGACGGGAAACUGUCGCUAAUACCGCGUAGAGUCGAGAGACGAAAGUGCGGGACCGCAAGGCCGCAUGCCAUAGGAUGAGCCCAAGUGGGAUUAGGUAGUUGGUGGGGUAAUGGCCUACCAAGCCGACGAUCUCUAGCUGGUCUGAGAGGAUGACCAGCCACACCGGGACUGAGACACGGCCCGGACUCCUACGGGAGGCAGCAGUGGGGAAUAUUGCGCAAUGGGGGCAACCCUGACGCAGCCAUGCCGCGUGAAUGAAGAAGGCCUUCGGGUUGUAAAGUUCUUUCCGNAUUGAGGAAGGUUGUUNUGUUAAUAGCACGACAAAUUGACGUUAAAUACAGAAGAAGCACCGGCUAACUCC